GAUGAACGCUGGCGGCGUGCCUAAUACAUGCAAGUCGAGCGAACAGACGAGGAGCUUGCUCCUCUGACGUUAGCGGCGGACGGGUGAGUAACACGUGGAUAACCUACCUAUAAGACUGGGAUAACUUCGGGAAACCGGCGCUAAUACCGGAUAAUAUAUUGAACCGCAUGGUUCAAUCGUGAAAGACGGUUUUGCUGUCACUUAUAGAUGGCUCCGCGCCGCAUUAGCUAGUUGGUAAGGUAACGGCUUACCAAGGCUACGAUGGGUAGCCGACCUGAGAGGGUGAACGGCCACACGGUAACAGAGACACGGCCCAGACUCCUAGGGGAGGCAGCAGUAGGGAAUCUUCCGCAAUGGGCGAAAGCCGGACGGAGCAACGCGGCGUGAGUGAUGAAGGUGUUCGGAUCGGAAAACUCUGUUAUUAGGGAAGAACAAAUGUGUAAUUAACUAGGCACAUCUUGACGGUACCUAGUCAGAAAGCCACGGCUAACUACGUG
rnacentral:rRNA from 1 species